rnacentral:rRNA from 1 species
UAUGGUCCUUGUUUUCCCUCCGCCGCGGUAAAACGUAGGUCACAAGCGUUGUCCGGAAUUACUGGGUGUAAAGGGAGCGCAGGCGGGAAGACAAGUUGGAAGUGAAAUCUAUGGGCUCAACCCAUAAACUGCUUUCAAAACUGUUUUUCUUGAGUAGUGCAGAGGUAGGCGGAAUUCCCGGUGUAGCGGUGGAAUGCGUAGAUAUCGGGAGGAACACCAGUGGCGAAGGCGGCCUACUGGGCACCAACUGACGCUGAGGCUCGAAAGUGUGGGUAGCAAACAGG